rnacentral:rRNA from 1 species
ACCGCUCAGUAACACGUGGACAACCUACCCAAAGGUCUGGGAUAACUCCGGGAAACUGGGGAUAAUACCGGAUAGGUCAAGAGUACUGGAAGGGUUUUUUGAUUGAAAGCUCUGGCGCCUUUGGAUGGGUCUGCGGCUGAUUAGGUUGACGCCGGUGUAAAGUACCGGCGUGCCGAUUAUCAGUACGGGUUGUGGGAGCAAGAGCCCGGAGAUGGAUUCUGAGACACGAAUCCAGGCCCUACGGGGCGCAGCAGGCGCGAAAACUCUACAAUGCAGGCAACUGCGAUAGGGGAACAUCGAGUGGCAUCUACAUUAGGUGUCUGUCCAGCUGUCUAAAAAACGGCUGUUAGCAAGGGCCGGGCAAGACCGGUGCCAGCCGCCGCGGUAAUACCGGCGGCUCGAGUGGUGGCCGAUAUUAUUGAGUCUAAAGGGUCCGUAGCCGGCUUUGCAAGUCUUGUGGGAAAUCCAGCGGCUUAACCGCUGGGCGUCUGCGGGAUACUACAUUGCUUGGGACUGGGAGAGGUAGGAGGUACUCAGGGGGUAGGAGUGAAAUCCUGUAAUCCUCUGGGGACCACCGGUGGCGAAGGCGUCCUACCAGAACAGGUCCGACGGUGAGGGACGAAAGCUAGGGGCACGAACCGGAUUAGAUACCCGGGUAGUCCUAGCCGUAAACGAUGCCCGCUAGGUGUCACGGCAGUCGUGAACUGCCGUGGUGCCGUAGGGAAGCCGUGAAGCGGGCCACUUGGGAAGUACGACCGCAAGGUUGAAACUUAAAGGAAUUGGCGGGGGAGCAC